rnacentral:sRNA from 1 species
UCGCCUCGAGAGCCGCCAACCUGCCGCC